AAAUAUAAAUGUUGAAAACGUAUAUUGUCUAUAAAUAGCGCAAAAAGUGUCAAAAUAGACAAUUUUUGUAUAAAUUUUUUAUGAAAAAUUAAAAUCAUUAAUUAAUCUCAUAUUCUAUAGUACCUAACGUUAAUGUGUGCCCAGUGUUCGCAAGAGCGUCAUUAGUAUUCAAACAUUCCAAACAACUACAAAGCUUGUAUUGUACUAAAAUUAAAGCAUUUUAGCACAAUAAAGCGUCAAAUAUAUUUUUAUCAUCUGUAUUCGUAAGUUAUCGUCGAACAUUUUAAACAGUAAAUUAAUUUUUUGAUAUAAUAAUCAAGAUGUUGAUCUGAAUAUACUGGAUGAAACUCGAUUAUCACCUAAAAAAAAAUUUUAAAUGAAGCACAACAUUAUUUUUUUUUUGUUUUACUGUUUACUCGAGUUUUUUGAAUAUUUACUUUUGAAAACGAUUUAAAAUGACACCAAAUUACUGUGUAACGUCAAAUUUUGCUAAUAUUUUAUAGUUGCAGGUCAGAAAAACGUAUAAUGAACGAUGAACGGAUUCCUCUCUGUUUAUGUUUAUACCUAAAUUUAAAAAAAACGAAUGACAAAAGUCAGUCGACAAUCGGAAAAAUAAUUAGUAUACUAUUGUCACCUUUUGCAUAAUAUAGGUCUUGGAAUAUCAUCAUGUAGUUUUAUUGGUGAUGUCAAAAAAGAUUAUGGUUUACCGGAUGUCAAUAUUAAAGAUAUACCAAAGACGUGCACGGCUAUAAUUGUUGAUGGAUUUUAUGUGGAUUCAAAUCACAAUAAUGUUAAUCAGCUUUCUUGUGAUACAAAUCAUAAUACAAUUGAUAAUUUAGAGGAAAUAUUGAAAAAUGCUGAGAAUGUAUUUGUAUUGUAUGGUCACGUAACUCAAGAAGAAUGGAAUUAAGUACUUGCUUGUGACGAUAUUGCAAAAAACUCACAGGACGAAAUGAAUGGAUUAAAAAUCUUUUUUUGACAAACAUCAAGGAAUAAAGGUCUACUUAUAACAAAUUUAGAAUUUGAUGACAACUCCGUAGAUUUUCCCGAAUACUCUGAAAAUUUAAAAGUUUAUCUUGAUACAAUGAGAUCGACUUUUCCUGAUUUGGCUAUUGGCCUUUAUUUAGUCGGAAAAUUUAUAGUAGAUCAGUAUACCCACCCAAAAUCAACUUUUUUGUUCAAAUGCAACUGGUUCAAGUUCUUGGUGUUUCGAUACUAUAGAAUCGUUUAAUGAAAAAGGUCAAUUUGCCAAAGAAAAUGGAGCAGGAUUUAUAGCUAAUAUUAUCGAUUUAGAUGAUCCUCAAAAUCAUUGUGAGUGUGAACCAUAUCCAUCGUUUAACGCUAUUUUAGAUGGUUUUAAUGCUAAUACCUCAAAGGAAUGUGCUUCAUUCAACAGAUCGUAGAGGAUAUAGCUAAACCAGUUUUGGACUAUAUGCAUUACUUCGUAUUAAACUAUUAGAUCAUUUUGUAUUGUUUAACUAAAAUUUAAUCAAUUUUAUUAAUAAAAAAAUUCAAAAAUAAAUAUUUAAUAAUUUACUAAGUGUUUGUUUUUAUUGAUUCUCUAAUGUAAUAUAAGAUAAAGUACGAUUAUUUUUUAGGGAAUGCUACUAAUAUAUUAAUUACCUCAAAAACUA